GAGUUCAAUCCCAGGUUCUGCCAAAAAAAAAAGAAUGAUACAGAGAAGAUUAGCAUGGCCCCUAGACAAGGAUGAUAUGCAAACUUGUGAAGUGUUCCAUAUUUGU
ensembl:snRNA U6 U6 spliceosomal RNA